ACCAAACAGCACUGGCCAAUGAGGCUGGAAUCAGUUCUAGUUACUUCUGGCAGUGGCAGGCUGCUCUCUGCUCUAAGAGCAUGGCCUUUUCCUCUUUACAGUGGGGAUUACCUGGCUAUCCAACAGAACAGAGAAUGGAAGAACUAGAGGGAAACUCACGGGGCUGGUGGGACAGCAACCCACAGCCUCAUCAGCAGGACGUCGCUGGUGACCGCACAGGGCACUGCGUAAUCCUCUAGUUUCAAGUGAUUCUCUGGCCACCUGUUGUCUGUUUUACUUCUUUCUUCUGCACCAGGCUGUGAGUUCCAUGAAAGAAAGGGGUAACUUCUAUUUUAUUUAAUGUUUACCCUCAUCAUCCCACAUAGUGCAGGCA
rnacentral:lncRNA from 1 species